UUAGAUGAUGGCUAUCUCACUCCAGUCAGAGCCACCAACUCAGGGCUGGAAAGUAAAAAACCGACG
rnacentral:ncRNA from 1 species